GCUUCUUCCCGGUGGGUCCUGAUGGUCGGCCCAAGGCUUCUUCCCGAUGGGUCCUGAUGGUCGGCCCAAGGCUUCUUCCCGGUGGUUCCUGAUGGUCGGCCCAAGGCUUCUUCCCGGUGGGUCCUGAUGGUCGGUCCAAGGCUUCUUCCCGGUGGAUCCUGAUGGUCGGCCCAAGGCUUCUUCCCGGUGGGUCCUGAUGGUCGGCCCAAGGCUUCUUCCCGGUGGAUCCUGAUGGUCGGCCCAAGGCUUCUUCCCGGUGGGUCCUGAUGGUUGGUCCAAGGCUUCUUCCCGGUGGGUCCUGAUGGUCGGCCCAAGGCUUCUUCCCGGUGGGUCCUGAUGGUCGGCCCAAGGCUUCUUCCCGGUGGGUCCUGAUGGUCGGCCCAAGGCUUCUUCCCGGUGGGUCCUGAUGGUCGGCCCAAGGCUUCUUCCAGGUGGGUCCUGAUGGUCGGCCCAAGGCUUCUUCCCGGUGGGUCCUGAUGGUCGGCCCAAGGCUUCUUCCCGGUGGGUCCUGAUGGUCGGCCCAAGGCUUCUUCCCGGUGGGUCCUGAUGGUCGGCCCAAGGCUUCUUCCCGGUGGGUCCUGAUGGUCGGCCCAAGGCUUCUUCCCGAUGGGUCCUGAUGGUCGGCCCAGCCCGUUCUGGCGCAGGUGAGUGUUUAUAGUGGCGCCAUCUGGCCACAGGACACAACAUAAACCCAUAAAAAUGUUACAAAAAUAUGAGGAUUUUGUAACGAAUUAAUUUUUUACUACAUUAAUUUCAAUGGGAUAAAUUGCUUCCUAAUUCAAACAUUCACAAGGGAUACAUAAGGGGAGGCGGUGGCUGAAUGGAUAGUGUGACGGCGCCGCAUUCAGGACAACGCGAGUUCAAUCCCCGCCCGGUGCCACCAAGCUGGGAUUCUUCAGCCGCCGCCGAGUGGCUGAAAACUACCCACAUGCUGUCCAGAAGACCACCUAUCAACCCGGACUCUAGAUUCUAGGAUUAAAGAUGAGCUCUGGGAGAUGCAAGAUGGCGCCACUAUAAACACUCGCCUGCACCAGAACGGGCUGGGCUGACCAUCAGGCCCCACCGGGAAGAAGCCUUGGACCAACCAUCAGGACCCACCGGGAAGAAGCCUUGGACCGACCAUCAGGACCCACCGGGAAGAAGCCUUGGACCGACCAUCAGGACCCACCGGGAAGAAGCCUUGGACCGACCAUC